CAGCUACGAAGUGUGGAUUCAUUAACCCGUCUCCUUUUCUCAUCCUAUCCCCGUAGGGCUGAGAGACGAAUUACUGGGGCUGAAUUGGGAGGGGAUUGCUCUAUAUGGGGGCUAAUGUUUCAAUCAGUUCCUCCAGAAGGACCACACAAAAAGAAACUUUUUAGUUUAUGGUGCUAUUAUGCAGAGUUUUAAUCUAGGGAUAGAUUUAGCCAAAUGUUAUCUAUUGGGAAUUUAAUGAAGUCCUUAUGUAUUCAAUCACUUUUUAUGCCACACACAGUGUCUCUGUCCAGAAACGUUUCCUUCCACAUAUUUCUUUGUUUCUGUUGGGUGAUUUAUAUAUUUUUAAUCACUUUUUUAUUAUUACUUCUUCUCAACCAUCUUGUAUAACAGUGCUCUGGAGCAGAGCUGCGUUAGGUCCCUUCCCACAUCCCCUAUGAAAGAAAUUUCCACUUCCCACCCCCGUUUCAAAGCUGAUUAGCUGGCGCGUCCGCAGGCUGCGCGCUGCCCGCCGCAGGGCUUCCCCGCCGCGGCGGCGUGCGCGGGGCGGCAGCUCCGCGGCCCUUGGCCUGGCCCCCCCCAGGCCCCCCAGACCCUCCCCAGCCGGCCGCGCCUUUCGCCGGUGUGGCGAGAGGCACCGCGGGCGGCCGCCGGUGCUCGGGCCGGCCGCUCCUCCCGUGGGCCGCGGGGCCGGGGCUCACCCGCGCCCGCCCGCGCCCGUCCCCGCGGCUCUCGGGGCUGCGGAGCGCGGCCGCCCUGGCCGAGGCCGAGGCCUGUGCGGGGGAUCUGCAGGAAAGCGGGUCUGCUCGGAUGGGCCCUUGGCACGGGCCGGGGGCUCCGCUCCGUGCGUGACACUUGCCGCCGCUCGCUGCAGUAAGUCCUUCCGCGGUCUGCUGUAUAUUGCAUUUCACAGAAAUGAUGGGGGUUGUGAUCGUGGCCACAUGCGCCUUGCGCCGCGGCUCGCUAACCGAAGCAGAUCCGUUUUCCAGCUCCUUCCCGGCGGCUCCUCUCUCCCCUCCUCAGCGAAGCUGCAGCCGCCCUGCGGAGCCGCCCGCCCGCCCGCCCGCCGCGACGAGGUGCCCGCGGCCGCGCAGCGCCCGCAGGUGCGUGUGCGCCCCGGCCGCCGGCCGCUGUGCCGCCCGCCGCUGCCGCUGCCGCCUGAGCCCCGCCGCCUGCAAGGGGACCUCGGGGCUUCCCCGCCUCCCCCCAGCCCCACCGCGGCCGCGCUGCGUUCGCCCCUCUGCUGCACGGAGUAGCACAGCUGAGAAGAGCGCCGGGCCCCGCCGCCCGGCCGGGCUCCCUCCUCGUGUCCCGGCCCGGCCCGGCUCAGCUCGCCGCAGAGGACCGGCGCUGACCCAAGAAAGAAGGAGCCAAGGUCGAGGAGCAGGGAAGCCCGCGGCGGGACUCCCGUCCCCUCUGCGCGGCGGCGCAGCGGGGCAGGCGCUCCGCGGCCGCGGCGGUGCUCCGCGCCGGACCCCGCGCCCGGGCGAGCUGGGAGCGGGCAGGGACGGCGGGGCGGCCCGCAGGACGCGGCGGCGGAGCCAGCGGCAGGCGGGCCCCGGCGGCCGCCGCUCGGACGCGGGGCUCCCGCUCGGCGGCCUGCCGGGACCUGCCGGGCCCGCCGGGGCCGGGCCGGGCCGGGCUGGGCCGGGCCGGGUGAGGGUGCCACGGGCGCUCUUUGCACGUUCCGGUUAGGCCGCGGAAGGCCGAGAAAGCAGAGCAAGUUCUGGACUGGACUUCACAGAAGACUUUUUCUUUUUUUUGUUUUUUACAUGCAAUGUCUAGCUAAUUUCAAAAAUGAUAUCGCUGAACUGUAUUCAGAAGGACAGUAUUUUUAUGAGAAUAAUUAAACUUGCCCUUUCUCCAAA